rnacentral:rRNA from 1 species
AGAGUUUGAUCCUGGCUCAGAACGAACGCUGGCGGCGUGCCUAACACAUGCAAGUCGAACGGAAUGAGGGGCUUGCUCCUCAUUUAGUGGCGCACGGGUGAGUAACGCGUAGAUAAUCUGCCCAACGAUCUGGGAUAACAUCUCGAAAGGGGUGCUAAUACCGGAUAAGCCCACGGGGACUUUGGUUUCUGCGGGAAAAGGGGGGGACCUUCGGGCCUUCUGUCGUUGGAUGAGUCUGCGUACCAUUAGCUAGUUGGUAGGGUAAUGGCCUACCAAGGCGACGAUGGUUAGCUGGUCUGAGAGGAUGAUCAGCCACACUGGAACUGAGACACGGUCCAGACUCCUACGGGAGGCAGCAGUGGGGAAUUUUGCGCAAUGGGCGAAAGCCUGACGCAGCAACGCCGCGUGAGUGAUGAAGGCUUUCGGGUCGUAAAGCUCUGUCAAGGGGAAAGAAGUGUAUUGCGGUUAAUACCCGUGAUACUUGACGGUACCCCUAAAGGAAGCACCGGCUAACUCCGUGCCAGCAGCCGCGGUAAUACGGGGGGUGCAAGCGUUGUUCGGAUUUAUUGGGCGUAAAGCGCGUGUAGGCGGUUUGUUAAGUCUGAUGUGAAAGCCCUGGGCUCAACCCAGGAAGUGCAUUGGAUACUGGCAGACUUGAGUACGGGAGAGGGUAGUGGAAUUCCCAGUGUAGGAGUGAAAUCCGUAGAUAUUGGGAGGAACACCGGUGGCGAAGGCGGCUGCCUGGACCGAUACUGACGCUGAGACGCGAAAGCGUGGGUAGCAAACAGGAUUAGAUACCCUGGUAGUCCACGCCGUAAACGAUGAGUACUAGGUGUUGCGGGUAUUGACCCCUGCAGUGCCGCAGCUAACGCAUUAAGUACUCCGCCUGGGAAGUACGGUCGCAAGACUAAAACUCAAAUGAAUUGACGG